rnacentral:snoRNA from 1 species
CCCGUUUUCUUGAUGAAGCCAUUUUCGGAUGUAAAGAGUAUUCGUACUCGCGAGUCCGAGAGCGCAAAAAACCUAUGUGGAUUAUUCCGUUGCCUUCCUUCUGACUGCAUCU